rnacentral:ribozyme from 1 species
UUGAAUUGAAUCGUAAAAAUAGUUCGAAAUGUCAUCCAAAGCUGGAUUUGCUCUUACGGCAGCGGCAAGUCUUGUUGCUGUGGGCAUCACUGCAUU